UGUGGACUGCAGCGGCCUUCCCAAGACAAGGAGGCCAAAGAUCUUCCGCAUGGAAGCUGCCCUGGGAGAGCUUCACCCAAGCCUUGGAUUCGGGUCAGAAGAGGCGUUGGACCUACGUACACCACAGACCACGCUGCUGGAAAAGGAAGAUGAUGGAGAGAGAGGUGGCCACUCCAUUCUAGGUGACAUUUCUGAGGUACAUCCCCAAAGCCUUCUCCAAAGGUGGGCAGUAUUCCAAGAAGAAACCCCAGCAUCCGCGGGCUGAACAGAAAAGACAGGAGAGGCCUCCAGCACAGAAAGCCAGAAAGCCAGCUGGGAAUCCCUGUCAGUGGUCCUGAGGACAGACUAGGAAAAAGUCUGGUGUAUUUUGGACAUCCCCAUAGUGACCAGGGGCUUUAAUGCUCUCUUCUGGUCUCCUCCAGCACUUGCACACACAUGCACACACUCAUGCAUCCACACACAAUGCUUCGGACAUUGAAAGAACGGAUUUUCUGUUGUUACUUGCCUCAACGUUCAACUGACUUGCUGAAAACACCCAAGAAAAGAUGAUCUUAAAAAGGGCUAAA